GACGAACGCUGGCGGCGUGCCUAAUACAUGCAAGUAGAACGCUGAAGAGAGGAGCUUGCUCUUCUUGGAUGAGUUGCGAACGGGUGAGUAACGCGUGGUAACCUGCCUGGUAGCGGGGGAUAACUAUUGGAAACGAUAGCUAAUACCGCAUAAAAUGGAUUAUCGCAUGAUAAUCCAUUGAAAGGUGCAAAUGCAUCACUACCAGAUGGACCUGCGUUGUAUUAGCUAGUUGGUGGGGUAACGGCUCACCAAGGCGACGAUACAUAGCCGACCUGAGAGGGUGAUCGGCCACACUGGGACUGAGACACGGCCCAGACUCCUACGGGAGGCAGCAGUAGGGAAUCUUCGGCAAUGGACGGAAGUCUGACCGAGCAACGCCGCGUGAGUGAAGAAGGUUUUCGGAUCGUAAAGCUCUGUUGUAAGAGAAGAACGAGUGUGAGAGUGGAAAGUUCACACUGUGACGGUAUCUUACCAGAAAGGGACGGCUAACUACGUG
rnacentral:rRNA from 1 species